rnacentral:lncRNA from 1 species
UGGGGGGGCAACGUUGGGAUAUACCGACCGACCCUUAUAUGCCGACUUAUCCUCGGAACGGUCCGACCGACGCCCGAUUCUAUCCACCGGACGGACAGACGACUCCGACAAUGACUGCCGACAAUAUCCGGCCAAAGGUAUGCCAGCCAAACAGACCCUUACUAUUUUCAACCGAUCGAGCGACCGAACCCGUAUCACCGACUCACUGUCGAGGGUGGCAGCGGACGUCCAACUUUCAUAAGGCACC